rnacentral:ncRNA from 1 species
AAUGAAAAGCCACAAAAUAUUCAUUAUAAAUUAUAUGAGACUUUUUUGAUACAUUCAAAAAGCUCCAUAAUACCAACAGUGGAGUUACCCACUACAGACAUUAUAGAGCU